CUAUGUUUUUUGUUUUUGUUCAGAUUUUCCAAACCACCGUUUAGUGAUUUUUAAUGGUUGAAUAUUUUUCUACCCUCAUAAUUAUUUGUUGAUUUCCGUUUUACCCUUAAAACUCAAAUUUUGUUUUUCCUUUACCCCGACCUGCUUCUUCUUUCUUCACCGCAGUCGUCCUCGUGUCAUCUGAUUCUGCUUCUGCUUGUUGCGAUCGUCUCCGUCGGUGUUAACUUGCUUCACCUAUCCUUCUUUCAGUUAAGGCUAUUUGAUGAAAACACACAAGAGGUUUUGUGAGAUGGACUCUUGGUUGGUUAUGUCAUGUUUAUUGGCAUCCUGAUAGGCUUUUGCUUGUGAUUCAGUGACUAGGGGGCUAAUGUUAUGGAUCUUGAGAAGCUGUUCUCUUUGGUUAUGAAUUUGGUAAACUGUUGAGAAAAUUCAUAGAUCGGAGUGCUCUUUAAUUUUGCUUAUUUUGAUAAUUGGUGGGAACAAACUAUAACAAAAGGAAAUGAGUUCAUGGGACUGUUAGUUUGAUUGGUAUGAUACUGCCACCUGGCUUAUGUCUCUUUGUUGUGUGACUAAUAAGGCUAAGAGCAAACACUCUGUAGGUUAUUUUUGGUAGGAUAGCUUUGCUUGUUAUGAGUGUAUUAUUAUAUGCUAAAAAAUGUCAAAGGAGACUAUUCUUGGAACAGAGUAGGCAAUUUUUCUUGGUCUAUAUAGCUAUUUGAUACAAUCUCCUCAAAGUGAAUGAAAUUUUUCUACCUGCCUAGUUAUGAACUCCAUCAGAAUUGAGAGAUCAUUAUUUUCGGACAUUAGUUUAUUAUAUUCCUUAUGAUUUUUAUUUAUUUAUUUGUUUGGUUUAUUAUUGUCUGUAACUUUUCUUCUUUCUUUGUAUCCUUUUCCUCUUACCUUAAUAUAUAUAUUUUUUUAACCAAAAUGAUUGAGGAACUCAUAGUUUAGAGAGGAAUCUGGAUGAGAAGCAAAAGAAUAUAGAUAGAGAUUAGAUAGACAAGAAGAAACUAGAGAUUAUAUAGACCAAAAGAAAUUAGAGAUUAAGUUAGAAAUAUAUAGAAAACAAAAUAAACUGUGAGAGAUAUGUCAGACAUGAAAUCGUCGGAAGAACGAACACAUACAGAUCUCGCAAAGGAUCAAAAUUCAAGUGAGUUAAUGUUUGUUUUUGCCUUAAAAAGCAAAUUUAAUCUUGCUUUAUUUUAGGUAUAAUGAUAAAUGAAUGUUCUUGCAGUGGAUUAAAGGCUCAGCUGGAAGAUGGCCAGGUGGGCAUGCUUUUUUCUUGUUUAUUUUUGAAAUGUUGUUCUGGAUUGAUCAUUCAGUACUUCAUUUCCUAGGUUUAUAAUUUUAGUUUUUGGCUAGGUAUUGUAUUGGUUUAGUGAACACGAGGUGAGAAAUAGUGUCUUUGAAAUUGUGAAUUUCUAUUGUCUAUUUAUUCUGAAUCAAAGUGUCGGGAGUUGCUUAUUGCAUCCGUUUCCUUGGAGGAUAUGUUAAAAGGAAUGAUUGAAUGCAGUGACUAUUAUUCAUAGGGUUUGUAAUA